GAUGAACGCUGGCGGCGUGCCUAACACAUGCAAGUCGAGCGAGAAAUGAAGAGAAGAAACUUCGGUAGAUUUUCAUCAUGGAAAGCGGCGGACGGGUGAGUAACGCGUAGGCAACCUGCCCCGUACAGGGGGAUAGCCAUCGGAAACGAUGAUUAAGACCCCAUAAAGCGGAAUAUACACAUGUAAAAACCGUCAAAGAUUUAUCGGUAUGGGAUGGGCCUGCGUCUGAUUAGAUAGUUGGUAGGGUAACGGCCUACCAAGUCAACGAUCAGUAGCCGACCUGAGAGGGUGAACGGCCACAUUGGAACUGAGGCACGGUCCAAACUCCUACGGGAGGCAGCAGUGGGGAAUAUUGCACAAUGGAGGGAACUCUGAUGCAGCAACGCCGCGUGAAGGAAGAAGGUCUUCGGAUCGUAAACUUCUGUCCAAAAGGAAGAAGGAAGUGACGGUACUUUG
rnacentral:rRNA from 1 species